rnacentral:rRNA from 1 species
GGCCCAGAUCGUUUACCGUGAAAAAAUUAGAGUGUUCAAAGCAGGCAGAUCCAAUUUUCUGCCACCGAAUACAUUAGCAUGGGAUAAUGGAAUAGGACCCUGUCCUCCUAUUUUCAGUUGGUUUUGGCAGCGCGAGGACUAGGGUAAUGAUUAAUAGGGAUAGUUGGGGGCAUUAAUAUUUAAUUGUCAGAGGUGAAAUUCUUGGAUUUAUGAAAGAUUAACUUCUGCGAAAGCAUCUGCCAAGGAUGUUUUCAUUAAUCAAGAACGAAAGUUAGGGGAUCGAAGACGAUCAGAUACCGUCGUAGUCUUAACCAUAAACGAUGCCGACCAGCGAUUAGGAGACGUUGAAUACAAAACACCACCAUCGGUGCGGUCGUCCUUGGCGCGUUGGUCUUCAAAAGCCAGCGCGCGGGGGCGGCUUAGCCCGGUGGCACCGGUGAAUGACUCCCCUAGCAGCUUGUGAGA